AUGUAGGGGGUAUGAAGUAAAACUUUCGGGCAAUCUGGUCACAGGUUUUCCAAGCCCAAAUCCAGAGCAAGCAACAACCAGAAAAGCCAAUGUCACACGAAACGUGGUUCUCACCGUAAUAAUCUGAAGCGCAGUUCUUCUUCACACUCGAAGUCUCCUUCCUGUUCAGCCAGGAAAAUCGAACCUACCAUCAACAAGUACCGAAGCAUCCAACUGAGUUUGAAUUCAAUAAUCGCUUCUUGCAAACGCGGCUUCAUAACUUCAAACAACACCACAAACUCCCUAAGAUUGCAUCGAUUCGCCUUGGUUCAAAUCCGGUUGGUCAAGCUUGAUUCGAAUUCGCGGUAUGAAAUUGACAAGAGGUCGUAGAUGCUCGAAAAUAACUGAGCGCGAAUCGUGUGUACCGAUGCGAGAUUCCGGCGCGAUGGUUUUUCUGCUCCGUCUACGGCGACGACUUUUAUCGGUAAGCUUCUCCCUUCGUCUCCUGCGUUUCAGUUCUUCUUCUUCAAUGUUCUUCCGCGUUUGUGUCGCAUUUUCAGAACUCAAUGGUGCCGCCUCAAUUCGGUUCAACGUUCUAUCCCAAACAAAUGUCAAAGGUGUGAAAUUGAAACUGAAUAUGGACUGAAGUGAAAUCGAAGAUUUUCUUCUAUUCCACGUCGUUCUUCUGCGUCUGCUCCUCUCUUUUCUGUUGGACUCUGAUUUGAAUCAAGAAAUUGGAUUUCUUCAUAUUUUGAUGUAUUCUUUUUUUGUUCUGAGAUUUGUACCGAACAAUGUAGAGUGAAUCGUGAUUGAAGAAUGAAAUGAAAUGAAGAAUAGUGAAGAUGGAAAAAAACUCCUCUGCAUCUAUGAAGGAUUUUCAUUCGUUUUUCUGUUGGUUUUGCAGAGAGAGUGAAAUGGAGAAGUUAAAGAUGAAGGUUGAAGAAGCUCCCUCAGAAUGAGACUUGAAGUGUUUAUAUAAAGCCUUUAUCCUAACCGAUUCGGGCAAUGGAUCGGGCAGCAAGGCUUGAAGCUGGAUCUGUUAUACGACGAUGAUGAUUGAUGUUUCCAUCCCCAUAGUUAUUCGCAUGCUACCAAGGGCAAUUGUCAUUGUCGCAUUCUUCUCGCAGCUCACGCAUAUAAAGUGGACAAAGGGAUUAACUUCAGAACUGCAGCCAUAUCAAUCUUCCUUUUGUCGACAUAUAAUACCUCAUUGCUUUAGCGGUCAAAGGUGGAAUGUUCCCUGAAUGAGUCGACUGACGGCAUGAAAAGGCAUAUCCCAGCAGUUGACAUCCAAUGAUUUUCUAACUUUGACUACUACUAGAAUCCCGGUAGAUGCCUCUUUCUUCCCAGUUAAACCAUUGCCUUUUCUCAUUUCUAACUUCACUUUGGUACCUUGUUUAGCAGUCUCAAUGUUUCUGCAUGGAAUAUCAUUUACCUUGCUUGGUCAUGAUGUCGUUAGCUAGGCCUGGAUGAAUUUAAGUAAAGGGUAUGUGAAAGGUUAAAAAUUUAUUUUUGUCAUGCUGCCGGUUGGUUUCUGGACUGGGUUAAAACAUGUUGAUUCCGCAUUUACGAUAAUUAUGUAGGUACAUAUUGGUGGCUUUCACAAAGUGAAGCUAUGUAUAACUUUUAACAGUAUAUUUCCGAAGGAAGCGUUAGAAGAAAAAUGCAAGGCUAGUGAAGGUUAACUUCUGUUAGGAGUUAGUUUAGAAAUUCUGUUAGUGAUUUAUAGUUGGUUAGGAAAGUGUUAGGUGCAAUUAGUGUUCAUGAAGAUGGUUAAUUGUUAUGUUAUGUUAAUAGUUAAUUUUGUUAUGGUUCGAUUAUGAAUUCUGUUAGCUUGUAUAUUAUUUUUGACGACUGUAAAUGAUUGCAAGUAAAGUCCGGUUUGAAACUUUGUUAACAA